CACUACAAUUCCCAGUACUGGCAAGGAUAUUGAGCAACUAGAUUUUUCAUACAUUGCUGGUGAGAAUGCAAAAUGGCAUAGCUUACUUUGAAAUAUAGUUUAUCAAUUUCUCAUAAAGUUAAACAUGUGCUUAAGAAAUGAUACAAUCCUAAUCCUAGGCAUUUUCCCCAGUGAAAUGAAAAAGUAUGUUCAUUAAAAAAUCUUUCAUUAACUUUUAUAGCAGGUUAUAUGUCCAUAAUGUCCCAAAACUGAAAACAUUCCAAAUAUCUUCAUUGCAUCAAAAGAUAAGCUGUGACACAUACUCACAAUGGAACACUAUUCAGCAAUAAAAAUGGAUGAACCAUUGAUACACACAAUAAUGUGAAUGAAUCUGAAAUAGAGUAUGCUAAGUGAAAGAAGCUAUACACAAUACAUUGCUGAUGUAUGAUUCUAUUUAUAUAGCAUAUGGGAAAAGGCAAAAACAUAGGGAGAGCAAACAAAUUACUGGUUUCCAUGGGGUGGGAGGAGGCAUUGAUUCUAAAUAAACACAAUGCAAGACUCAAAAGGGAGAGGAUAGGAGGAGGUAAGGGAUGAAAAUUACCUACUGGAUAUAAUGUACAAUAUUUACGUGAUGGAGGCACGAAAACUCAGACUUCUUCACUACAAAAUUCAUGCACAUAACCAAAAACCACUUGCACACCUAAAGCUACUGAAAUGUUGAAAUAUUUAAAAACAAUGACCCCCAGUGCACAAGACCAGUGAUGCUGGUAAGUGGGAUACGUAUGCCAAAGAGAAGCCAUAAAGUGCCCUCUUUAAGUGAAAAAGCAAAAGUUUUUGAUGAAGGACAAAAACUUAGUGAAUUUAGGGUUUAUUCUAGGUUUCAGGAAACAACUGGGGUCUUGAGAUGUAUUCAUGGAGAAGGGAGGACUUCUCUAUGUUGCAUCCAUGAAUAGAAGGAAAUCACUGCACUGGAUUUGGAAACUGGAAAUCAACAGGAGCCAACUCUAACAAAAUCCUGGAACAACUGACAAACCUCUAGAAACCAUCAUGCUACUCUCUAUCCUUCCAAUUCAAACGGUCAACAUUUAAGUGAAGAAUCCAUGCUUUAGCCUCAAAGUAUUGGAGUCCUCCUAUAACACUAGAAAGAUCAUGAGUCCACUGAGGAAGGAAAAAGUUAGCUUCACUUGACCAAGUUCCCACAUGGAUUAAGCAGCAGACUCCAAACCAAGACCAGAAAGCAAUCCUCUGUUUCAUGAAAACAUACUUGGAUAUGACCUAUGCUAUUGUGAAUGAAACUUAGCAAGGAAGAACUGUCCAUCAAUCAUUUUAACUAAGUUCACCUUUUGUUGCCAUUUAAGUAUAAUUUUGUCCUAAGAAAUUCAUAGUGAGUGAUUGUGAUUACAUUUUCCUCAUCUACAUGCCUCUGACAUUCUUGCUGAAGAUGCUAAUCUUGUAUAAAG